CCUUUAGAUUUUUAUUUAAGGUCUAAUCUGCCCACUGAGUAAUUAAAUGGCCGCGGUAUUUUGACCGUGCGAAGGUAGCAUAAUCAUUAGUUUUUUAAUUGAGAGCUGGAAUGAAAGAUUGGAUGAGAAAAUAACUGUCUCAAAUUAAUUUAAUUAGAAUUUUAUUUUUAAGUUAAAAAGCUUAAAUAAUUUUAAAAGACGAGAAGACCCUAUAGAGUUUAAUAUUUAUUUAUAUUUUAUAUUAAAUUGUUUUUAAAAAUUUUAAUUUAAAUAAUUAUUUUGUUGGGGUGACAGAAAAAUUUAAUAAACUUUUUCUUAAUUUAUAUACUUAUAUGUAGAUAAUUGAUCCAAAAAUUUUGAUUAUAAGAUUAAAUUACCUUAGGGAUAACAGCGUAAUUUUUUUUGAGAGUUCUUAUCGAAAAAGAAGAUUGCGACCUCGAUGUUGGAUUAAAAUUAAGUUUUGGUGUAGAAGCUAAAAUUUUAGGUCUGUUCGACCUUUAAAACUUU
rnacentral:rRNA from 1 species